AUGGCGAGCAACGGCGACGAGGCUACCGCAGGGGUGGUCGGGAAGGUGACCUGCGCGGCGUGGAUAAAGCGGCCGGCCGUGUCCAGCAGCCGCAGUCUCCUCGUGGUGUACGGCCACGGCGCCACUGCCUCGUCCCCGCCGUUCCUCGACCUCCUCGCCUUCGACACCAGGGCGUGCGAGCUCGCCUCCGAGCCCCUGGUGAGCGAGCAGCCCGUGCGCGGGGUUUCGGCGCCUGCUGCUGCUACUGCUGCUACGGCCGUGUCUCUGACAGCGGGUUUAACGAUUUUGCAGCUGAGGGUCGUGAUGGGCGAGGAGGGAGCCGACGCGGACACGCCGCGCGCCAUCGCCGUGCACCCCGCCGGCGACGAGUUCGUCUGCGCCACCGCCAAAGGCUGCAGGCUGUUCAAGCUGGUCUAUGAUGACUUCUGUAUCAACCUUGUUUCGAGAGAUUCCUCGGCACUCCAAUCAGUUGGGCCUCAGCGAUGUUUGGCAUUCAGUACUGAUGGUACCAAGUUUGCUAUUGGUGGUGAGGAUGGACAUCUAAGAAUAUUUCACUGGCCAAGCCUCACUGUGCUUUUAGAUGAACCUAAAGCUCAUAAAUCCUUCAGGGACAUGGACAUCAGCUUGGAUUCAGCGUUUUUAGUAUCAACUUCAACUGAUGGUUCUGCAAGAAUAUGGAAGAUUGAUGAGGGAGCUCCACUCCUAAAUCUGACAAGAUCUUCGGAUGAAAGGAUUGAGUGUUGCCGCUUUUCUAGGGAUGGGAAGAAACCUUUUCUGUUUUGCACACUUGUAAAAGGAAAUGAUAUCGUGACUAUGGUUUUGAGCAUAAGUAACUGGAAGAGAAUUGGAUACAAAAGACUCCUGCGAAAGCCCAUUUCAACACUUUCAGUUAGCUUGGAUGGCAAGUAUCUCGCACUAGGAAGCCGUGAUGGCGACUGUUGUGUUGCCGAUGUACAGAAGAUGCAAGUUUCUCACCUGAUCAAGAAGGUCCAUCUUGGCUCCCCAAUUUCCUCCAUUGAAUUUUGCCCUACUGAAAGGAUUGUGAUCUCCACCUCGCAUCAAUGGGGAGCAGAGAUAACGAAGCUCGACGUCCCUGCCGACUGGAGAGUUUGGCAAAUCUGGCUGGUAUUCUUGAGCCUCUUCGUGACGUCGGCGAUCCUGUUCUACACGUUCUUCAAGCACACAAACCUGGUGUAA
rnacentral:rRNA from 1 species